ACAGAAGAGAAUUUAAAAAUAAAAUUUCCUGCUACAAAACAACAAAAAUGUUAGUUAAAACAUUAAAAGCACAUUUUAAAUGCAUUUUGUUCUAGUAAUACCAAGUUAAGUUACGGAUAUUAACACUUCUACUGAAAACAAUGCUUAUAUAUAUUAUUUACGUAUAUACGUCAUCUUAAAAGUGUUGAAUUGGUGGCAACCACUAGAUAGUGUAAUAAGAGGCUCAAGUUCUCAGCUCCCUACAAAAACACCAUUUUAACAACCAUCCAUUAAAAAAAAUACCUUUACACAAGAUCCAUAAUCUAAGAAAGAGGUUAUAGCACUCAUGUAGAGCAUGUAAAUGAGAAAAGACAUAUUAAAGGGGAUAAAAAAAAUGUUUCACUUUACCCAUGUCACUCCUCCCUUAAGAAUGUACAGUGCAGUGCUGAUAGUAAUCAGUAUUAGCCUGUGAGUUCUCUCAUGAGGAAAAGGAAGAAAGAAGUGAGUUUCUGAUGCCUCCGUGGAACCUGGCAUUAGGUUCUUCAUUACAGACACUGGCAACAAGCCUAACCCACAGGCCUCUGGCAUCAGGCAUGCCUCUGCCAACUCAAGUACCAGGUCUACCUCUAUGGACCCUGGCACCAAGCCAAUCCACCUAGGUACCCUGACAAUGGUCCACCCACCUACAGACUCUAGCAGAAAUGCCUACUCAGAGACCAUUACAGCCAGUCCACUCAGAAAUGCUGGCUGGACUGACCAACAAAGUGCUUUGCUUGAUGAAGCCAGUGUGUAAAACUAAAAGAAGUGACUACUUCUUCAAAUGCACAGAUACCAAAGCAAGGCUACAAGAUUUACAAAGAAUCAGGGAAAUAAGAUACUACCAAAGGAUCAAAAUGAAGCUCCAGUUACCAACUUUAAACAAAUAGAGAUCAAAAUGAAGCUCCAGUUACCAACUUUAAACAAAUAGAGAUCCAUGAAUUGCCUGACAAAUUAUUCAAAGUAAUUAUCUCAAGAGCGCACCAUGAGCUAAAAGAGAACAAUUAUAAACAACUAAACAAACACAGGUAACAAUACAUUGGGGAAAAAAGAGAUGCUCAGCAGAGACACAAGCCAUAAAAAAAAAAACCCAACAGAAAUUCUAGAGCUGAAGAACACAAUGGCUCAGCUGAAAAACUUAAUAGAGAGCUUCUACAUUAGACACGAUCAGCCGAAGAAGGAGUCAGCUAGCUCAAAGACAAGUAAUUACCCAUUUCAAGGAACCAAAAAAAUUCUUUUUAAGAAUAAAGAAAACCUUAUAGUACUUAUUAGCCACCACUUAGCAAAAUAAUAUAUGCAUUAAGGGAAGCUCUGGGAAGAGAAGGGAGAGAAAGGGGUAGAAAGCUUAUUUAAAGAAAUAAUGCAUGUAUAAUGAUAUAUUGGUAACACUGCAGACUUGGGGAAGCCAGCCAACCUUGGAGAUCUGAGUGUGAGAGAAAAGAAUAUGAAUAAGAAUAAGAAGAGAAAGAGUAAGGAGAAGAGGAGAAGGAGUAAGAGGAGGAGGAGGAGGACAAAGAGAUAGAAUAAAGAAGGAAUGGGUAAAACUUCCAAAAUCUCAGGAGGGAACUGGAUAUCUAAAUUCAUGGAACCAAAAGGAUCUCAAAUAAGUGACACCUAAAGAGGGCUGCACUGAGAAAUGUUAAAAUUAAAUUUUCAAAAGGCAAAGGCAAAGACACAAUUUUGAAAGCAGCAAGAGAAAAGCUGAUCACAUGCAAGAAAAUCUCCGUAAGUCUAUCAGCAGAUUUCUUAGCAGAAAUCUUGCAGGCCUGCAAGAUUCAAAGUACAGAAAGGAAAGAAGAAAAAAACAAAAAACCUGCCAACCGAGAAUACUAUACCUGACAAAACAGUCCUUUUAAAAUGAAGGAAAGAUAAAGACUUUCCUAGAUA
rnacentral:lncRNA from 1 species